GAUUUCUGCUUAUGCAGGAGUGGUAGCGGAGCGUCGAGCUCGGAUUGAAGCAGCGGUGUAAACCGUUGUGGACUGAGCUCGAGUGAGAAUGUAGGUAUGAGUAGCGAGAGAGGGGUGAGAAACCCCUCCGCCGGAAGUCCAAGGGUUCCUGGGGAAGGCUAAUCCUCCCAGGGUAAGUCGGGAGCUAAGGCGAGGCCGAGAGGCGUAGUCGAUGCACAACCGGUUGAUAUUCCAGUACCACAGGUUGCGCGCCCAACGCAGAACUACGGUUGCUAAAGGGAUGGUCGGUCCUUCGGGACUGACAGGAACUGACCCACUGUAGGGAGCGAGCGAAGCGGGGACGCAGGAAGGUAAGUGAUCCCAGGCGAUGGUUGUCCUGGGGCAAGCGUGUAGGCCGGGGCGUAGGUAAGUCCGCUCCCCAUAAAGGCCGAGACGUGACGCCGAGCCGCACAAGGCGAAGUCACCGAUCCUAUGCUGCCAAGAAAAGCCGCUAGUUAGCGCA
rnacentral:rRNA from 1 species